GCUGGCAUGCGGUCGAGUAAGAGCGUGCCUGUUCUCGCUGGCAUCAGAUGGCAUCGAGUUCUUUGCAAUGCGGUAGACUACUCUCCUUUGCCUUCACCUAUCGAAGCCCAUCUAGUCUCCUUGGCCGGCCUGCGACCUGGACGAGAUGGGCAUCGUAUUCUUCGAAAGCCCCUGGAGAGACGUCACUGUGCUUUUUUGCCAUAACGCAUUUCAUGACCAAGAUGGACCAAGAUGGAAGGCUGUUGUGGCUGGCCAUGCUUCACCUGAGGAUUCAGACAG